rnacentral:rRNA from 1 species
CUGCCUCGCACUCUGGGAUAAGCCUGGGAAACUGGGUCUAAUACCGGAUAUGACCACUGAUCGCAUGGUUGGUGGUGGAAAGAUUUAUCGGUGCGAGAUGGGCCCGCGGCCUAUCAGCUUGUUGGUGGGGUAAUGGCCUACCAAGGCGACGACGGGUAGCCGGCCUGAGAGGGCGAUCGGCCACACUGGGACUGAGACACGGCCCAGACUCCUACGGGAGGCAGCAGUGGGGAAUAUUGCACAAUGGGCGGAAGCCUGAUGCAGCGACGCCGCGUGAGGGAUGACGGCCUUCGGGUUGUAAACCUCUUUCGACAGGGACGAAGCGUGAGUGACGGUACCUGUAGAAGAAGCACCGGCCAACUACGUG